CCGCGAAAGGACAUAAACAAUGAUAAACACUACCAUAACCAAGAAAGUUCAAGAAAACGAGCCCAUCUUAAAAGCGAUUUCAACUACAAAUGGGAGAUUACAAUGCACAGGGCAAACACAAAGACUGACUUGCAAAAGAAAAGAAAGCCUACCUCUUGUUUUCCCUGUCUCAACAUUCUACAAAAGCUUAGAAAGACGAAAGUG